rnacentral:lncRNA from 1 species
AGCAGGACCGUAGUCCUAUCUGGUCGAUGUUGUGGUCUGCUCGGCUGGAACGGGACGAUCCCUUGCCCUGAGUAGGACGAUCCAUUUUGCCCCCCAUUACCAUCAAAGCCCUAAUUAUAGCAUUGUUUGGGUGUACUUUAGAGCCUAGAUGUCUUUUGAUUUCUAAACCCUGAUGACCAUGCAUCUAUUUAGUUAAUGCAUGGUGUACAUGCCCUAAUCUCCCU